CCCGUGAUAGCUCAGUUGGUAGAGCGGAGGACUGUAGUCGAAAUUAUCUAGAUAUCCUUAGGUCGCUGGUUCGAAUCCGGCUCGCGGGU
rfam:Biomphalaria glabrata isolate BB02 unplaced genomic scaffold LGTN_random_Scaffold6555, whole genome shotgun sequence.